CGGACGGGUGAGUAAUGUCUGGGAAACUGCCCGAUGGAGGGGGAUAACUACUGGAAACGGUAGCUAAUACCGCAUAACGUCGCAAGACCAAAGAGGGGGACCUUCGGGCCUCUUGUCAUCGGAUGUGCCCAGAUGGGAUUAGCUAGUAGGUGGGGUAACGGCUCACCUAGGCGACGAUCCCUAGCUGGUCUGAGAGGAUGACCAGUCACACUGGAACUGAGACACGGUCCAG
rnacentral:rRNA from 1 species